GACGAACGCUGGCGGCGUGCUUAACACAUGCAAGUGGAGCGACGAACCAGAGCUUGCUCUGGGGCAAAGCCGCGAACGGGUGAGUAACACGUGAGUAAUCUGCCCCGAUGACUGGGACAACCCGAGGAAACUCGGGCUAAUACCGGAUGUCGUGCCCACACAUAAGUGUGGUCAGGAAAGGUAGCUUCGGCUUCCGCAUCGGGAGGGGCUCGCGGCCCAUUAGCUAGUUGGUGGGGUCAAGGCCUACCAAGGCGACGAUGGGUAGCUGGUCUGAGAGGACGAUCAGCCACACUGGGACUGAGACACGGCCCAGACUCCUACGGGAGGCAGCAGUGGGGAAUCUUGCGCAAUGCGCGAAAGCGUGACGCAGCAACGCCGCGUGAGGGAAGACGGCCUUCGGGUUGUAAACCUCUUUCAGGAAGGACGAAGGUUCGCCGGUGAAUAGCCGUGUGGAUUGACGGUACUUCCAUAAGAAGCCCCGGCUAACUACGUGCCAGCCGCCGCGGUAACAC
rnacentral:rRNA from 1 species